AGAACCUAGUAUCACACUAGGCUUCUGAAAACACCAAUCAAGAGUUGCUUAAUGCAGGGGUCCCUUACCCCUGGGCUGCAGACCUGUACCUGUCCAUGGCCUGUUAGGAACCGGGCAGCACAGUAGGAGGACUGAGGAGGGAGGAAGUAAAAGGGAGCUGUGACUGUGGUACGUAUCUGAAAGCAAGUGUUAGAGAGGGAGUGGAGAACGCAUAAGCAAGCUGGUUUGACCAGAAACAGAACUGCCUGUGACAGAUUAAGAGACAAGCAAGGCUUGGAAUCUGAGAGCAAGCAAAGAGAGUGGAAAUUUACAGCUGCCCUAUGAGGCAACCUCUAUUAAAUGGACGAUAAAGGCUACUUCAUCUAAAGUGCUUUGAGCUCAAGAAAGAGCUGUCUUCAGCACCUCACCAUGUGUCUACAUUUUGUUGCUUAGAAAAGCCUAGGCAUUUCUGUAACAUUUGCAUUCCAUAUUGGAAGAAGAGAUUUCUACACAUGAAAAAAAUGCCUUUGUUUAGUAAAUCACACAAAAAUCCAGCAGAAAUUGUGAAAAUCCUGAAAGACAAUUUGGCCAUUUUGGAAAAGCAAGACAAAAAGACAGACAAGGUAAGAGCUAAAACAGUAACAUUAUGAUUAAAGUACAUGCAUCGCAAUGCCAAAAACCAAUGUAAAAGCUUAAUGAAGAAUUCAAAAUAUGGUCUGUGAUGUGCACAUAGACCCUCUAUAAAUAGAUUUAAGUUGAUUUCAGGUUUUAUGCAACUGAUUAUUAUUUAGUCUGUUGUGAUGAACUUUAGGUUCACUCUCUAGAGACUCUGACCACACCGGAUCCCUCUAGACUACACAGCUUAAAGAUCUAAAAGGUUAUACUGGUGUGUAAUGUUACAUUUACAUGAAAGGUA
rnacentral:lncRNA from 1 species